rnacentral:rRNA from 1 species
GAUGAACGCUGGCGGCGUGCCUAAUACAUGCAAGUCAAGCGAACAGACGAGGAGCUUGCUCCUCUGACGUUAGCGGCGGACGGGUGAGUAACACGUGGAUAACCUACCUAUAAGACUGGGAUAACUUCGGGAAACCGGAGCUAAUACCGGAUAAUAUAUUCAACCGCAUGGUUCAAUAGUGAAUGACGGUUUUGCUGUCUCUUAUAGAUGGAUCCGCGCCGCAUUAGCUAGUUGGUAAGGUAACGGCUUACCAAGGCAACGAUGCGUAGCCGACCUGAGAGGGUGAUCGGCCACACUGGAACUGAGACACGGUCCAGACUCCUACGGGAGGCAGCAGUAGGGAAUCUUCCGCAAUGGGCGAAAGCCUGACGGAGCAACGCCGCGUGAGUGAUGAAGGUCUUCGGAUCGUAAAACCCUGUUAUUAGGGAAGAACAAAUGUGUAAGUAACUAUGCACGUCUUGACGGUACCUAAUCAGAAAGCCACGGCUAACUACGUG